AAAAAGAAAGAAAGAAAA
rnacentral:sRNA from 1 species